rnacentral:lncRNA from 1 species
CCACACCCUCAACUUUCCACUCACGAGUUGAUAAGUGUUACAACAAAAUAUAAACUAAUGUAAAACACUAAACCAAAUAAAUAUAUUUUCAAUCCUAAUAUUCACAAUGUUAUGACCUUCACUUUUAUAUAUAUAUAUACUACAAGAAAAUCAUCAAAUAGAAACUAAUUUUUAGAGAUCAAAAUAAUUAGUUGAAAUAGUAACUAAAUUGGAGACCAUUUUAAAAACUAAAAAAAAUUGAUUUCUAAAUUAGUAACUAAUUAUUUUUUGUCUCUAAAAUUGGUUUUUAUUUCAUAAUUUUUUUAUAGUAAUAUAUAUAUAUAUAUAUAUAUAUAUAUAUAUAAUCACAAAUUUAUUUGAGUCAUCUAUCUUAAAGAACUUAAUAAAAAGUUUGAGGACUCAAAAAAUUUAACAAAUAAAAAGUAGAAUCACACUUCUACCCAAUACAAGAAAAUUAUUAAUUAAAAACUAGUUUAAGAUAAAAAAAUAAUUAGUGAUUAUAUUACUAAAAUAAAUAUUAUUUUAUAGACUAAAAAAUUAUUGAUAUCUAAAGUAGUUUUUAUUAUUAUAAAAAAUUAUAAAUUAAUUUUUAAAUUGGUAUCUAAUUAUUUAAUUAAUUUAAUUAGCUAACAUUUUUAGAACCUAAAAUAGUUGAUAACUAAUUAGAUACCAAUUUUAGAAUUUAAAGUAAUUGAUAGCUAAUUAGAUACUAAUUUAAAAUCUAGUUUAUAAAUUUUUAUUAAUAAUAAAAACUACUUUAAAUAUUAAUAAUAUUUUAAUCUAUAAAAUAAUAUUUAAUUUAAUCAAUAUAUAAUUAAUUAUUUUUAAUUAUAAAAUUAUUUUAUUUAAUAAUUAUACUGUAUUGACCAUAUACAUGUAAAUCUAAAGUGAAUAAAUAGAAUAGUAACUACAAACUCUGCAUAUGAAGAUUUAUUAAUAUUAAAAUAAAAAGUGGAACUUUUAAUAUAUUCUUCAUUGUUUCCUCUAAAAGUCACUAUAAUAUAAUCAAGACAAUCUCUAACAUUACCAUCACUAUUGACAAAUAAAUUAACUUAUUAGUAAUUAGUUCGUCAAUUUAAUAACUAUAUAUAGAAGAGAGAAAAGUAAAAUUUCAUUUAAGAGUGGAGUUGAUUGUAGAAAUUAAAUUACGUAUAAAGUUAAGGGAGGGAUAUCUAUUAUUUUUUAAUAUGAAUUGUAAUUUUAACUUGAGAUCUUCCUGUCUAGUUAAGUAAUUAAUAAGUAGAAAGCUUUAUUAAAAAAUAUAUUGAAGUUGUAUUAGAAAUUUUAGAAAAGUGGAUCCAAGUAAAUAACUUUCACUUUUAAAUUUUUUUACUAGGUAUUUUUCUGUAAUUUAUAUAUUUAAUCUCUUGCAAACGUAACAACUAUGAUUGAAUUGAAGUUUGAAAAACAUUUUUCUGAAUUUUAUGAUUAUAUGGUAAUGUCACAUUCGAGGAUUACAUAAAAUAACGUAACGUGCAACAUGAAACACGAUUGUUCUAACACAACUUUCAUCCAUUCAAUUUAUUUCUUAUAUAAAUAAUUUUAAAAUUAAAAUUAAUAAAAUUUCAUGGUUACCUAACAUUUGUCUAGUUUGUCUGAAAAAAAAUGUCCAACAAUAAAUUAAACUGGGCAAAAUAUAAUCUGUCCAUUGAAAUUCUUAAAAUAUUAAAUACAGAUUUUUGUAUUAUUUUGUCACUCUAAACUUUUGAACUUUAAAGAUAUAUAUUUUAGGUGUUUCAAAAAUUUAUACAUAUUGAUCUUUAAUGGUAAUAACACUAGAUGGAAAAAAAUUGUACAGAUGAUGGUCUUAAUAGUGUUGAUUAUUAUAUUUAAUAAAAAAAGUGUGAUAAAGUUGUCAUGUAUAUAAGUUUAUUUUUGUCGUUAGUACUAAUGAAAUCUAAAAGGUAUGUUUAAAUUUCAAAGGAAUCAAAAUAAUAUAAUUUUUUAUAAAAGUAUUUAGUGUAAUUAAAUUUUAAUAUCUCGAUUAGAGAUUAAGAUAUUUCAUUUUAUAGUAUAUAAGCGGGUGUAACUUCAUAAGCUGAUUUGGUUUAAACUUAAAGUUCACUUUUUAAUAUGAUAUAAGAUCCAUUUAAAGUCGAACUUAACUAGAGAUUUUGUUAGUCUUACCAAACCAUCUACUAUCGGAUCGUUAUUGGAUCAUAUAUAAAUAUAUAGUCUCAUACACAAACAGUCACUCUCCGCGUGAGAAAAUGUGUUAGAAAAUUCACAUAGAUUAAGUGCAAACAUUACCUUAUAAGUCGAUUUAAGUGCAAAAAUUACCUUGUAAGUCGAUUUUAUGAGUUAGAUUUGAAAUUAUUUUUCAAUAUUCAUAUAAAUUAUUUUUUUAAGAAUUAAUAUUAAACAAGCAGUAAAAAAAUAAUUAUUAUAAAAAUAUUAAAAAUAACCAUUUAUCUAAAAAUAUAUAAACUAAAAACACUCUUUUCGCAAGAAUAAAUAUGACAGACAAUGCCAUUAUUAGAAUUUAGAACACACAUGAAGGGGUUGGAGAAUAAUUUAUUAACGUCUGGAGCAGCAGCACCUAGAAGCAUUAAAUAUUCAUAAUUAUUUGUAGUAACAACUAUUUUUAAUUUUAUUGUUCUUUGAUUAUUAUUCCACUACAACAGAAUUGAUAACCGAUAACAGUUUUAAAACUUACUUAGCAACUGUUAAAACUAUGGUCAUAAAACUACAUAGUGAAUUUGUAGGCUAUGAUGAGUUUAUAUGUCUAUUUGUUGGUUGCGGCUCAACCCAACAUGUAAAUUCGUUUUUGAGCUAAACUCGAUUUGGUGAACUUGAUAUUAAGCACGUAAAAUAAAAUAAAAUAAAAAGCACCAUACUAUUAAAAUCACAAAUGAUAAUAGAAUGUUAAAAAAAAAUGUUAACUCUUAGUAAUUAACAAAUAGGUUGAGAAUCAUGUUGCCCCAACAGGAAGAAAAUGUUCUGUAGGAAGUGUAAGAGAAAAAAAAAAAUAAUGUAACAUGAAUACUUUUUUUGUGUUGUUAAAUUUAAAUGAAAAUCACAGGAACUUAUAUGUAAUCGAGAACUAUGUUUAAUCAAUUAUCUUUUUUAAACCUAUUAUUUGAUUACUUAUUUUUAAAAUUUAUCUCAAUUUAUUACAAGAAAAAUAUUAUAAUAAGUUAUUUAUAAAUAUUUUCAUCCAUAUAAUUUUGCACUUUAUAUGCAUAUAAAUGAUUUCAAGUUAACUAUUAAUAAUAAAUUAGUUGUAUUAUAAAUAAAAAACAUUAUAGUAUAUUUAUUUUCAAUUUAAUUUUUAUAAAUAAUUUAAUUCUUAUGUUUUUAAAAUAAAAUAGCUUUUUUUUUCAAAAAAAAAGGUUCUUAUACUGAUAAUCAUUUAAAUUAAAAUCUGUUUCUUGUUUGAUUCUUUUGAAAAUAUCAGUCAUGCCAAUGUGAUAAUAUCCAAAUUUUAUAUAAUUUUUCAGUUAUAUGUUUUUUUCUAGUUAUAAUUGUUUUGUAAGUUUUUUUUAUUUAUUUCAGAAACUAAUAAAAUUUAUUUUAAAUAAUAAAGAUUCUCACAUGAUAAAUAAAAACUUCAAAUAAAAUCUAAGGUCAUUGUUUAACAAAAUUUACAACCAGAGCAAAUCACAUUUCUUAUAUAAGGAAUGAAGUUAGUGUAAACAUUUCCAAAAAUGCUUAUGACCAGUUAAACAAAUUUUAAUUAUUUUUAAGAAAAUGAUUCCGAUAUUCAUGUUUUCCAAGAGUCUACAUAUGAGGUAGUGACAGAAUUGUCAUUCUACUACAUAUAAGCUCAUAAUGGACCUACUCUUUACAAAGCAGAAUUGAACAACUGCACAACAAAAAUAAAUCUUUUCCACUGCAUAGCAACUGCAAAACAUAUCAAUUGCAGAAUAAAUCAUAAUCAACUGCAUAACAAAAUAAAUCUUUCCAUAAUAUUGAAAUUUACUGUAUUUUUCACCUACUACUUCAAAUCUAAAAUCAUCAUCUACUGAAAUAUUUCAAAACAAGCUCCUGGAUUGUAAAACAACACCCACUAGUAAUCCACUGCCAAGAGUAGAGCUUAAAAUAUUUCAACCAUUUUCCACUUCCCUCCGAAUGUUGAAAACAUUUGAGAAUUUUGGGCCAACCCUAUUGACCACCAAACAAUAGAAAACUAUAUAACAUGCCACCUGAUUCUAUUAUCUGAAUCACAAUUAAGAAAUCCCAAACUUCUAUUGCUCCAUCAACUCAAGCACUAAACUCACCUGGAGAAGAAUUCACAUUCAAAAUACAAGUGAACUAGAGUUUUGACUUCCUUAUAAGGUACCUCUAGACAUGACUUCAAUGGUUGGAGUAAUACCUCUAUAUGCUUGUUCUUAAGGGAGAAAUCAAUCUUGAGCUAGCUUCCAAAUACAAGAUUGAACCUUGAGUAAGUGUCAUAGAACCUUAUCCAGCCUAAAUUUCGAUAAUAGAACCUUAUAUGCGAUUUAACCAAGUAAGUGUGUCUAUGUAAUAAAUAAAUCAUUUUCAUGAAAGUUGAAACUUUAUAAAAUGAACUCAAAUUUAAACCAUUCAUUGACGCUGGCUUCAUAUAUUGGAGCUUAUUGCGGAAAAUCCUUAUUACUAUAUGACUUUAGAGGAGUUUUACAGUGUAAUUACAAGAUAGAAUACUGACAUAAAGUCUCCAUAAGAUUCAAGUUUUGAUAUGACCAUCCUAAAUCAUCCUCUGAAUGUUGUCAGUAAAAUUAACCAUAGUUUCAAGACUGUUAUCAUCUGCAACAAUGAAGCACCAAAUUAAAAUCACAGAUUUUCAGAGUUGAGACACAUUAUAUGCACAAAACUAAUAUUCAAAUGCGUCCUGGCACCAGUCAUAGUUAGUUACAAUGAAAGAUCUACAAUUUAAAGUAGGAGACACCACUAACCAAGUUUGGGGACUGUAUGCCCUCUGGGGUGAUGAAUCACAACAGGAUUCUGGAAUGCUCCCAACAAAGCAACGCUCUCUUCCUUCAUGAAAUCUUUCUCCCCUUCACCACAUAAUAAGAAUAGAAGAUACAAUACAACUUUCAAAGUUAAAUGUAAAGGAAAAUUUGCUUAAGCAGAAUCACAUAUGAGGGACUUGAAAUUACCAAUAAUGUGAAGAGAUAAGCAAUCAAUUGGUUUUGAAAAUGCAUUAGAAGCCAAUUUAGGCAUUCCAAACUUGUUUCCACCAAACUUGGCACCAGAUAUCACAAUCAAAAACUUGAUCUUGUCUACCUUCCCAAGUGCUACACCCUAUAAAAGUCAUCAUUCCCUUUAGUGAAAUCAAAUGCAGUUUUAACUAAUUUAGCCUACUUAGAGCAUCUCUAAUGCCGCUGUUUACAAAAGUUGCUUAAAAUGAAUAGCAUUGCUCAACAAAAAUUGACAUAUAAGAAACAUAAACUAUUUUUAUUUUAAAAAAAUGUACAUUUUCAAGUUAACAAUCAUCGUCAAGACAAAGAAACAAAGCUAUACACCCAUUUAAAAACUUUAGCAUUAGAGUUAAAACUCAAGUAUUCAUUCUUUGACAAUUUAAGAAAUAAAACCGUAUAAGCAAACCAUGCUUCAUGCUUCGUAGAUACUCAUUGAAAACUCAAAUAUUCAUUCAUUCUUUCACCAAAAGGGCAUCAUCAAGGAAGGAAAGAUGAACUUAAUAUAUAAAAGAGAAAGUGUAAACAGUAAUAAGAUGAGUUUCUUGUUCAGUACCUGCGCUUGCAUUCCUGGCAAUGCAGCCGCUAAAAUUGCUCCCUGAGAGACAACAUUCCUUAUGUGUCAAAAUUGUAUAAACAAAAGAUUACAAAAAGUUCACAAAUAACAUUGUAGCAGCAAAGUCCGCACCUGAGAGAAACCCAAUACACCAUCGAAAGGACCAUUUUUGAGCAUGUAAUCUUCUAUGUAUGCUAAACAGGCUUCGAAGUUUCUAUACUCAGAGAAGUCCUGUACAUGAAAAGAUAAACGUUAGCAGCAUACUAGGAUAAUGUCGGUGGUGGGGAUUACUAAGAUGGACAGUCUUGUCUCUACAACAACCUCAUUGGCUUGGAACCAUUCAUAGUAAGGAGGAUCGAAAAUGCCUUCAACGUCAGAUCUUCCCUGCGCGGGAAAUUGGCCAUCGAGGAACACGAGGUCCAAUUUUUGUAUCACUGGUUCUGGCCAUCUUAAGACUAGCUGCUUGAGGAUUUCGCCACUGGUUCUGAAUCCGUGGAGACACAGGAUUCUGGGUUUUCUCUGGGUUUGGUCUUCUUCCAUAAUGCUCAAACUUUGACAGCAGAUUAUUGCUCAGGGUGCUUUCAUGAAAUCAAAAUGAAAAUUAGUACCAAUUUCUUUAGAUUUGGGCAAAAUGUAAGGGCCGGCGCCGCCGAACCCAUCAUUUAAUAAAAUUGUAAAACAUUGUAAUUUUUAGAUUUCAUCUUAUAAAAUCAACUCAAUCUAAAUAAAUAAAUAUAUUUCAAAUUUAAAUUAUAUUAUUAUAAUUAAUUUUAAUUUGAAAUAUAAUAAUUUAAUAUAGAAAUUAUAAUGCAUAUAUAUGUUUAAAUAAAAUAACAUUAUUUUUAUAUUUUAAAUAAUUAUUAUUAUUUUAUAAAAAGAUUAUGUAUAAGGCUAUUUAUAGGCCGAACCUGUUUAAAUAUAUUACAAAAAUAAUUCAGUUUAAUUUAUAUUAUAAUUUUUUGUAAUUGAACCGUUUGAUUAUGUAGUUUUUUCAUGUGUUAGCUACAAGACACUAGUCUAUUUCAGCACAAAUAAAAAUAAUUUAUAUAUCACUCAAAGGAUAGUUCUCGUAAUUUAUUCUCAUGAAAGGUGUUUCCGUCUGUUGACUCGAACAAUAGUCUUUGUCCCUCCUAACUCCGUCUGAGAAUUGAACUUUCUUGAUCGAAGAAUCUCUCACCUGCAAAGACAAAGGGCGUCUUGACGGUCGUUUGCACUCCAACGCUCAAGUCAGUAUAAGGGCAAAGAAAGACCAAGUGUAUAAAGUAGUUUCAGUCUUAGAAAUUGUGUACCUUGCUAGGAUUCUUAGCACCCUUUAUAUAGGUUGAAACUAGGGUUUACCUUCGCUCAUUUACCCAUAUCUAGGGUUCCUUCGAGAAUGUCCCUACGCCGCUAUUACAUAAUCUUAGCGUAAUCUGAUACAUUGAACUUCCCUUAACUGGAGUGCAACGACUAACAGAAUGGUCAUCUGGGUACCAACUUGUGCACCUAAUCUCUGGGGCCAUCUAUUACGCGGGUGUCUUAAGUAUUCACGUGUCAUGCAUGCAGCUCCCUUCGGAAACCCUAACCCUAAUGGGCCUUAGCGCCUCCAAGGACUGUUUACUCGUGUCGCGCCUGAAUGCACUAUACACACCACCUGCAUGGAUCCCUCGUGACUUAGGUUUUCCUUAUAUCUGUCGUUUUAACUGAUAACUUAGUAUAAUUCUAGGGUCCACCUUACGUGGUCAUAUAUAACUGUUCUGACCGUCAACAUCCGAUCUCUUCCUAUUCUGGCAAGGUCUGAUAUCGAUCUCCAACUUCGAGGUCUAUGGUACUAGUGUCCGAACGCUGACCCACACCCUGAUAUGCGUAUCUGGGACCCACCUUGUGUGGCCCAUCUUUGCUAUCAGGCACCGAUGCGCGACGUCUGAGAUCAGUCUCUGAAGUCGAUGACCGAUGACUGGUCGAUACAAAAAGAAAAAUAAAUUAUUAACAUGUAGCAUGAUUAAUCCGGUUAUAAAAAAAAAUCCCAUAAAUUGUUACAUGCUAAUAUUUUUUUUAAAAAUUAUGAAAUUGUCAUGAAUGUUAUAUCCUCAUUUAUUUUUUAAAAAAAAUUCCUUACAUAGAAGUAGGCCAUUCAAUUCUAUAUAUAUAUUUGAAAUUUGUAGUAUAUGUUGGUUAUUAAUUCAGAUUUUAUUAUUAUUAAUUCUGAUUUUAUUACCCUUAAACUAUUUUACCGUUAUAUUGCAUUAAUGGUCAGUUUACAGGCCUGUUAGUAUUCUUAUUUUAUAGCUUCCAGUAAUUGUAAUUUUAUUAUAUAUAUAUAUAUAUAUAUAUAUAUAUUAUAUAUAGUNNNNNNNNNNNNNNNNNNNNNNNNNNNNNNNNNNNNNNNNNNNNNNNNNNNNNNNNNNNNNNNNNNNNNNNNNNNNNNNNNNNNNNNNNNNNNNNNNNNNUUACGUUCAAUAGUUGCUACAACCUUUUGCCUUCUCUUAUUUCCUUCAAUUAAUUCCUACAACUGGUAUCAGAGUCAGUCUGUUAUCAUAAACUCUACCCAAUUAUCAGUCCCUAUCCUUGAUGGAAAAAAUUACAAUCGGUGGUGUGUGCAGAUGAAAGUUUUGUUUGAUUAUCAUGAGUUAUGGGAUGUCGUUGAGAGUGGAGUGUUUGCAUUAGCUGCUAAUGCAACUGAGGCACAACGAGUAGCGCAUCGUGAUCAGAAGAAGAAGAAGGACAAUAAGACUUUGUAUCUCAUCCAUCAAGGGAUGAAUGACGAGACGUUUGAGCAGAUAGAAUGAGCAACAACUGCCAAUGAGGCUUGGACAAUUUUGUCAACCAAUUAUAAAGGUGAUGAUAAGAUCAAAAGGCUGCGUCUUCAAACCCUAAGACGCCAAUAUGAAUUGUUGCAGAUGGAAAUCACAGAGACUAUUUAUGUCUAUAUAAAUAAAGUUCUUGCCUUCACAAAUCAGAUGAAGACCAAUGGUGAAACACAUUCGGAGCAGGCAAAGGUGGAAAAGAUUUUGAGAUCUUUAACUCCCAGAUUUGAACAUGUUGUUGCCGCAAUUGAAGAGGCCAAUGACAUUUCAAAAAUGACAGUAAGGUUAUUGUUUGGUUCUCUACGAGCGCAUGAGCAGCGGAUGAAUGACAAUAAGAUUGAAAAACCAAUUGAACAGGCUUUAGAAGCACAAGCCUCAAUUGGUAGCUCCUAUAAUAAACAUGGUAGCUAUUUCAGCAAAGGUCGUGGUGGCUAGAAUCAUGGAGGCGCUUGGCGCGGGGAACGUGGUCGCGGAGGACGAGGAGACAUUUAUAAUAAAUCAAAUGUUGAGUGUUAUAAUUUCCAUAAACGUGACCAUUAUGCAAAUGAGUGCAGAUCAAAAGGUGAUAAUCAUGCUUCCAAUUGUGCUCAAGAAGAUAGUAAUCACGAACAAGAUGAAGAGGACCAUGAAGUAUUAAUGACAACCACAUCAAAUGAAACUCCAAACAACCAGACUUGGUAUUUGGAUACAGGUUGCACGAAUCAUAUGUGUGGUCAGAAGGAGCUGUUUGCAGAUUUGAAUGACUCAUUUCGCACAAAAGUGAAAUUCGGUGAUGGCAAGUUCAUUCCAGUGAUUGGAAAAGGGCAAAUUCUUAUUACAUUGAAGAAUGGUGAUCACAGGUACAACUAUGAUGUUUUCUAUGUACCUGACAUGAAAAGUAAUCUAUUGAGUGUGGGACAACUGGCCGAAAAGGGUUACGUGAUGCACAUAGUUGAAAAUAAAUCUCAAUUUUUUAUAAAAAAAAGGUAAUUUGAUUCUUAAAAUCUUUUUAUCAAAAAACUGCAUGUUUCCAGUAGAUAUUCAUAUGGGUGAUUUCAAGUGCCUGAAUGCAAUAGUGAAUAAUGAAUCGUGGUUAUGGCAUUUACGCUUUGGGCACUUAAAUUUUCAGAGUUUGAAAAAUCUUUCCAAAAGAAAUUUAGGCUUUGUUUGGAUUAGGGAGUGGAAAUGAGGGAGUGGAUUUGAGAUGAUUUGAAGAGAAACUGUAAAGAAAGUUAGGGUGUUUGGAUUAAGGUAAAGAGAGGGGAAAGUGUAGGGAAAGUUUAUAAAAGUUUGUGAGUGAUGUGAUGGAUGUGAUUGAAAUUGUAUUUUUUUUAAUUGAUAAAAAUGUAACUUUACACAUUUGCCCUUAUAUUUAAAAAAUGAUAAAAAAAAUUAUUUUGAUUGAUUAUUUGUGAAUUACAUUUUUUUUAAAUUAAAAUUAUUUUUUCGACAAUUGAAACAUUAUUUUUGAUACCGUGUUCGAGCUAACUUCGGAAAAUUAUAAAUUAUAUAAAUUUUUUGGAUCAUAUUUAUGAUUGAUAAACAUUAUUGAGAACAAAGUUGUAAUUGUGAAUUAUUUAUUUUUCAAUUAUAGUUGUAUGCAAUUAAAAGAUUAUUUUCGGUAUGGAACAAAUUAUUUCUCAUAAUGUGUUGGAUGUAUAAUUCGAUAAAGGAUUUUUUUUUUAAGAAAUAAAUAUUAAUGUGUAUUAAUGCAGUAUUUUAGUUUAUUAAAGCAAAAUUCAUUGAUAAAUUUUGUGCAUAAUAAUAAUGAUUCAGAAAAUCAUAUGAAUGAUACAAUGAAAUAUGUUUCAUUCAAAAUAGUCAUGGAAGUCCUUAAUUUGUUUAGGGAUUCGUGUCAUUAAUAAGAUUACAGAUUCGAAAAGAAAAACACAUAUGCAUAAUAAAGUACAACCAAAUUUUUACGUAGUUUAGGGAUUUGUAGUCAUUAUCUUGACCAGCUUUCUCAUUCUUCGCUCAAGAGGCAGGCCAAAGAGUUGUUUUACCGCAUUAGGAUGACCACACAAGAAGUCGUAACAAUUAUCUAACAAAUCUCCAUCUUGUAUGUUCAUCUCCACUAACAUUUCCCAGAUGUCAUAUUCAGAGUACUGGAAAGUCGAUGUACGAGGAAGUGUGCGCGUGUGUUCACGAAAUAUGGAGUUUCGUUCUUCUUCUGCAACAACAUGGCGUCUGUUAUAUUGCAGAUUUUCUUCCGUAGCAUUAGCCACUCGCUGUGAUGACAAAGCGACAACCUUAGAUGAAAUGGCUUGUCGCUCAGCAAUAUGACAUAACCUAUCUGACUGAUCAGUACCCCUCCCAAGGAUAUCAGUUAAUCCUUCAAACCUUGUGUUAAGCCUUUCCAGUUGCAGAUCAAUGACGUCCACCAUAGGGGCUUUUCUUUUUGAGCCUCUAGAAGAAGAAGUACCACCUGAUGGCUGGGAUGACUGAGGUGGCACCAAUGGGGGUGUCAAAUUAGGGUCAGGGCUGUAUGAAUCAACAUUAGGAUCAGCUGAGCGAGGAGUUUCACAUUGAGUAGCAUCCAAUCCUGGCUCCUCUAGGAUGUCCUCCAUAUUGUGAUCAUUAAGAUCUACAUUAAAAUGAUGAGACUGAGUUCGAUUUGAGGACUGCAAUGUUGUUCUUCCACCGUGGCCAGUAGCACGAUCAAGCCCCCAAAGUCUUCCAUCAACUUGUAGUGCCUGAUGGGAUUAACACGCCAUUUUGCGGUCGAGGGCUUUGCCUGUUCAUUAAUGAAAAGAAAUACACUCAUAAUCAUAAUUAGUGGUUAAUGUAUGCGAUAAGUGAACAUCAAGUUGAAUAUGUUACCUUUAUCAACGAAUCUCACACUUCAUCCUCGGCCUCGAAAAUUUUCGUGCUUGGAUUCCAAGCAAAACCACUCAGUCCACUAAAUAGAUCAUGGAUCUCACGCCAUUUGUCCUUAAGGCUUUUCUGCCUGUUCUUCACAUUAUUUUUUGUAAUCCCUACCAAUCCAGUCUGAUGUAAGGAUUUAACAAUGUUUGUGUAACCCUGCGUCGUCCAACUACCAUCAAUGCGGUUACCCAUAGAUGCCUCAUCGAUCAUGGCAUUCAGCAAUCGGAAAUCCAUGUCGGUAGUCCAUUUUUUGUGUUCACGGACAACUGCAGAUGACUCUGAAGCAAUACCCUUCCCGUGAUCCAUGAUAAAACCUAAUAAAAAAGGUUAAAACUUUAGUACAAUAACNNNNNNNNNNNNNNNNNNNNNNNNNNNNNNNNNNNNNNNNNNNNNNNNNNNNNNNNNNNNNNNNNNNNNNNNNNNNNNNNNNNNNNNNNNNNNNNNNNNNUCAUACGUAAAUAUUAAUAAAGGUGGAAUGUCAACAUUAAACCAUGAAAUUGUUCUUACAACAAUAUAAAUAUAAGUUCACGGAUGUUACAUAAAAUUAAUUAUUACAAUAACCUUUCCACAUUUCAUUCGCUAUAGUAUCCCUAAUUUGUGACCCGAGCCUGUAGUCAUCCUCACGAGUUUGCGAGUGUGACACAUCUAUAUCUCCUUGCAUCAACUCACGGUCAACUUCUUCCAACAAAGAGUCAUCAUUAUCCACCCCGCGAAGAAAGUUAUGAAGAAUACAACAUGCUAAAACAAUAUCGGUCAUAGUGUCCACAGAGUAAUGAGGCUCUGUUCCGCUAAUGAUAAUUGGAAAUCGCUUUUUGAGGACACCAAAUGUUCUUUCGAUAACAUUUCUUAGUGAGGAAUGACGAUGAUUAAAUAACUCACGGGCAUUUUGUGGACCUCUUCGGGAAUACUCUUUUAGAUGGUAUCGAACUCCGCGAUAUGGAGUUAUAACUUGGGUUUUGAGCAUAAAACCCGCAUCUCCAAGGUAGUAUUUGCCUACAACCAUCCAUUAAUAAUUGUUACUUAUAAGUGAAUUUCAUGUCAAAAUCANNNNNNNNNNNNNNNNNNNNNNNNNNNNNNNNNNNNNNNNNNNNNNNNNNNNNNNNNNNNNNNNNNNNNNNNNNNNNNNNNNNNNNNNNNNNNNNNNNNNNNNNNNNNNNNNNNNNNNNNNNNNNNNNNNNNNNNNNNNNNNNNNNNNNNNNNNNNNNNNNNNNNNNNNNNNNNNNNNNNNNNNNNNNNNNNNNNNNNNNNNNNNNNNNNNNNNNNNNNUCGAUUGUUGUUUAAGAUAUGAGGUUCAACCUCAGUCCCAGCUGGUUGAAUUAAGAACUCUCCAUGCAUCAUCAAUAUUGCUUUCAAAACAUUAUGAAAGUGACGAGACACUGUUUCCCCGGACCGAUGAAAGAAGAACGAAACACUUCGAUUCUUGACGUUAUAACCAAUGAUGUGUAAAAAUUUAGCCACUUGUUCUUCAACUAUAGAUCGAAAUGCAUCUUUAACCAUAUCCGUUCCUCUUAUUCGUUGACAUAAAUUAAUAAAUGCUUCCGGACUCAUGCGAAUAAUGUCACGACAUCUUUCAGUAUGGACCAAGUACGACAUCAAUUCUUGUCGACGACGCUCUUUUUGUGGAAUAAACUCCGGUAUAGGAUUAUUUGUCUCGGUUAACACACGCAAUACGUUCAAUCCAUAUCCAAUCAUGCAAAGAAUUGUCAUUGCUGCUACUUAUGUCCGCAAAUUGAUUUGCUCUUGUAUUUGUGAAACUAGUGUGAAAUCAACACCAACUACAUCGGGAUUCAUGUCAUUCGUGCUAGACAUCUCGACAUUUUUGAAAUACAUAGACCAAUGGUUAUCGUUAUCCAUGGUCACAAAUCCUUGACAAUCAUAUAAGUUUAACUAUUAGGUCUAAAGAACCACCUUUUAGAGAAAUAAUAAUACUCAAUUUUUUUUACUUUUAAAAAAAAUUAAAAUAUUAUAUAUAAACUCUGUAAAGUGUUAUAAUUAUAGUUGUAUUACAAAUUCAAAAUAAUAUUUAUAAAUUUUUUUUUACUUGAUUUUAGGAAAAAAUAAAUAUUAUAUAUAAACUCUGUAAAGUGGUAUAGUUAUAGUUGUAUUAUAAAUUCAGAAUAAUAUUUAUAAAAUUCUUUUACUUGAUUUUAGAAAAAAUAAAAUCUUAUAUGUAGACUAUCUAUAAAGUAAUAUUUUAAAAUAUUUAAAUACUUUGUAUACUUAUAAUUAUUUUAUAAAUUCAGAAUAAUAUUUAUAAAAUUCUUUUACUUGAUUUUAGAAAAAAUAAAAUCUUAUAUGUAGACUAUCUAUAAAGUAAUAUUUUAAAAUAUUUAAAUACUUUAUAUACUUAUAAUUAUUUUAUAAAUUCAAAAUAAAAUUUAUAAAGUCUUUUAGCUGAUUUUGGAAAAAAAUAAAUAUUAUAUGUAAACUAUCUAUAAAGUAGUAUUUUAAAAUAUUUUGUAUACUUAUAAUUAUUUUAAAGCCUGUUCAAAAUAAUAUUUAUAAAGCUUUUUACCUGAUUUUAGGAAAAUUUAAAUAUUUAAAUAUUUUGUAUACUUAUAAUUAUUUUAUAAAUUUAAACUGAUAUUUAUAAAGUUUUUUACUUUAUUUUUAGAAAAAAAUAAAUAUCAGAAACAAUUUAAAUAUUAAUAAGUUUGUUUUAACUAUCAGAAAACUCAUUCAAACUUUCAUUAAUGCUCAUUAAUUCUCAUCAAUAUACUCAUCAAUGUGAUUAAGAAAAAACUUUGAAAACUCAAAAAGGCAGCAGCAUUCUAUUAAUUCUAUUAACAUAAAUAAAAUAAAUUACAAAUUCCUUCCCUCCACAUUUCAUUCUCAUAUUUUAUUCUCCAAAUUCCAAAUCUAUGUAUGAAACUUACCUCCAGAAACCUAGAGAAAACGAUGCCACCGCGAACCACCAACGACCACCGAGCACCACCAGCGGAACCACCACCCACCACCAGCAACGAAACCGUCCACGUCCAACGACCACCAACAACGCCGCCUACGGAACCCCACCCACACCUUGCACCUCCGACAACCGCACACCUCCAACACUUACGAACCUCCGACAACCGCUCACUUCCAACGGUUGUGAACCUCCGACAACCGCGCAUAUCCACCGCGUACCUCCGACGAGCACCUCCGACAACCGCGCACAUCCACUGUGUACCUCCGACGAGCACCUCCGACCGCUUCUAAGGGUACUCCCUCAACUCAAAACAAAUAACCCACCUCCACUCCUCUUCCAUAUUUAUCAUCUCUCUCAUUUAUUCAUCACCCACACACUUGAAUUUAUCCACCAAACAAUGUACGAAUCCCUGUUUGUGCUGUGUUUGUGUUGUGUUUAUGCAAGGAAUCUCAUGCGUGAGAAUGGAGAGAAUAUUGGAGUUGCAUGGCACGGGCAUAGGCAGCUAUGGCACAUAGGUUAGGUGAACGGAUGGGUAAUAUGGUAAAAUGAGAAAGUUUCUCUCCAAAUCUUCUCAUCUCAUCAGGGAAGCCUUUUUCCCUUUCUUUGCUUUUCUUCGCCCCCUAAUCCCCGCUAACUCCCAGAUACAAACAUCAGAUUUAUUUCCUUUUCAAUCCGGGUGAACAGUAAUCACCCGGAUACAAACACAGCAUUAGUGAAUGGUUUACCCCAUAUUCAUCACCCUGAUCAAUUGUGUGAGGCUUGCUUUUUGGAAAGAAUCAUAGGAUACCAUUUGUUAAGGAGCCUUGGCGUGCAAAAUUUCCUUUGGAGCUUGUUCAUACUGAUGUUUGUGGCCCGAUGAACAUAUCAUCAGUUGGAGGUAAUAAGUAUUUUUUAACCUUUAUUGAUGAUUUUUCAAGGAAAACCUGGAUUUUAUGUAUUGAAAAGCAAGGAUGAGGUAUUCCACUGCUUUAAAAUAUUAUAUUUAAAGCAUUUGUUGAAAGACAUAGUGGCAGACAAAUUAAGAUGGUGUGUAAUGAUGGAGGGGGUGAGUACAAGUCUAAUGAGUUCAAGAGGCAUUGUGAGGAACUUGGGUUGCAGCAUAACAUAACCUGUCCCUACACACCUCAACACAACGAAGUUGUUGAGAGAAAAAAUAGAACAAUCAUGGACACGGCGAGGAGCAUGCUUAAAGCAAAAGGUAUGCCAAAUUAUUUUUGGACUGAGGCCGUAACAUGUGCGGUAUAUUUGAUAAACAGAUCACCCACUCGGAGUGUUCCUAACACAACUCUGAUUGAGGCAUGAAGUGGAUUCAAACCCAAUGUGCAGCACUUGAAGGUAUUUGGGUCAAUUACUUAUGCUCAUGUUCCCAAGGCAGCAAGAUCGAAGUUGGAUGAUAAGGCAGAGAAGACCAUUUUCAUUGGAUAUAAGCAUGGGGAUACAAAUUGUACAAUCCAAUGACAAAGAAGGUGAUUGUUAGUCGUGAUGUUACAUUUGCCGAAGAUGAGGAAUGACAAUGGAAUGCAACAGUUGAAAUUGAUUCAAAAAAACGAUAUAUUUACGUUUUGAACGAUGAUGUGGAAGAUGGAGUCACUCUUAAAGCACCUACAGUUCAACCUGAAGCUGUAAUUCAACCUGAAAAUGCAACUCCAAUUGCAACUAUGAUGGAGCGACCAAGAAGGCAACAACGACAACCUGUACACCUUCAAGACUACGAAGUAAAUCUUGACGAUGAAGUUGAUGACAAUGGAGAUUUAGUUCACUUUGCUUUUGUUGCAGACUCAGAACCUGUGAGACUUGCCGAUGCCAUUCAACACCCCAAAUAGCAAAAGCCUAUGAAUGAAGAAUUGAUGGCGAUUGAGAAAAACAAUAUCAUGACUCAAAUUGGGAAGGAUGUUCCAAAUCAUAAUUAAGGGAGGAUGUUGGUUAUUAAUUCUGAUUUUAUUAUUAUUAAUUCUGAUUUUAUUACCUUAAACUAUUUUACCGUUAUAUUGCAUUAAUGGUCAGUUUAAUGGCAUGUUAGUAUUCCUAUUUUAUAUAGGUUCCAGUAAUUGUAAUUUUAUUAUAUAAAUGAUUGAGUAAAUUAAAAUGAAUAGAAUCAAUUUUACAAUUUCGUGCAAUUACGUUCAAUCAACAUCUAAUUUAAAAAACCAUUUUUGCAUAGGACGGAAAAUAGUUCGCGUCCUAUAAGCAAAGCUAAAUUUUAUUCUCACUAGUUUUAAACACUACAAAAAAAAACUUUUAUUAGAAAGGGCCAAAGGCGGACACUAAUCACAAAAAGCCCACGCAAAGAUGCAAUUAACGUGGGCUUUGCCUUCACACAACUUUGAAGCUAAUAUCCUUGUCGCAAAAAAACUGUCGGGUGCGUGGCGUCGCAAAAUGUUGGCUUGCGUGGGCUUUGCCUACAAGUUGCCAACACAAAAAAUUACAAAUGUUAACUUAAGCGGGGGCUUAGCCUUGGACAGAAAAUGAGGGCUUAGGCUUAGCUAGGGGGACAAUAAAAUUAGCGUGGGCUUAGCCUUGGAUAAGGGGACAAUAAAAGUAAAAAUAAAGCGUGGGCUUAGCCUUGGAUAGUGGGACAAUAAAAUUAGAAUAAAGCGAGGGCUUGACCUUGGUAAAGUGACAAUGAAAUUAGAAUGGGCUUAACCUUGGAUAUGUGGACACCUUUUUUUUUGUAUGCACUAUUUUUGGCAGCUAUUGAACUCCACUUUUAAAUAAAAGUUUGGAUUUUAAAUAUUAAAUAUUAAUAUUUUUUAAUUUGCUUUUUUUUUUGCAAUAGCAUUAAAAAGAAAAAAACAUCAAUGAAUUGAUAAGUUAAAAACUAAAAAACAAAAGUAAUGAAUAAAUUAUUAUAUUGAUGAAUAAAAAGUGUUUAAGCACCGGAAGAUGGACAUUAAUUAGUUAGCUUGGUUAUCUUAGUGAUUUCAUUAUUCUUCUUCUUAGGUUUAAGCUUUGUUGAAAUGCCUUCCAUUUGCGCUGCUUACUAGUUAUGUUUUAUCAAAACAUAUGCAAUGAAAAAACUAUCAUUUUAAUACAUUUAAGAAACAUUGUUCUAUAAUAAAUAUUUUUAUUAUAGAAAGUUAUGCACCCAACAGCUGGUUCUCUAGCUUAAGUUAUGCUUAAGUUAGUAAUUUAGCUGGAUGACCACAGUUGUGAAUGAGUAGUUUGAUAGGCUGGUUCUCUAGCUUCCAUGAUCAUCUUUUCUGGAUUCUAUGAAUAUAUUGUUUAUCAAGUUUCUCUGGACACAUAACAUAGUAUCUAAAAUUGGGGAUCGUACAACAACAACAAAGGUUUAAGGAUAGCUACAUACACAAACAUUUAAAUCAUAUGGUAUAACAUCUUGGCUCUUAUAUGUUAAAGAGAUGAUUAUAUUCAAAAUUGUAUAUUGAUCACACAGAAUCCUCUAUGGAGUUACUAAUUAAAUUGCAGAUGUCACUGCAUAUACCCUAAAAGAGNNNNNNNNNNNNNNNNNNNNNNNNNNNNNNNNNNNNNNNNNNNNNNNNNNNNNNNNNNNNNNNNNNNNNNNNNNNNNNNNNNNNNNNNNNNNNNNNNNNNNNNNNNNNNNNNNNNNNNNNNNNNNNNNNNNNNNNNNNNNNNNNNNNNNNNNNNNNNNNNNNNNNNNNNNNNNNNNNNNNNNNNNNNNNNNNNNNNNNNNNNNNNNNNNNNNNNNNNNNNNNNNNNNNNNNNNNNNNNNNNNNNNNNNNNNNNNNNNNNNNNNNNNNNNNNNNNNNNNNNNNNNNNNNNNNNNNNNNNNNNNNNNNNNNNNNNNACUCUUGAACAACAAAACAGAUCCAUGCAUAAUCCAAAUAUAAAACAAUACCAUUUCUAAUUUUUGGAUUGAUUUCCAUAGUGAAUCUAAUUACACCAAAAUGAAGAAGUUUGUGAUUGAACAUUGAAAGGCAAUGACACUUGCCAAAUGUUUUAAGCAAAGAUAGAUGUCACAACCCAGUGUGUCUGUCUUCCCAGAGGAUGAAAAGAGAACAUAUAUAUCUACGUACCUCACAAAAUUGCAAUAUUUUCCCAAAACAGAAAAAUGAGAGAUACUGCAUGAACACACUGCCAAUAAGAUACUUACCCAAAAUUGCAAUCCUUUUUUCCUUGCUUAUAUCACGAACUUUUACUGCAUGAACACACUCACUCAUCACAACACUACCAAGAAGAUAAAAACAUGCACAUCACAACACUACCAAGAAGAUAAAAACAUGCUCAUCACAACACUGCCAAGAAGAUAAAAACAUGCAAAGAGUCAUGCAUGCAAUGUGAGUAAUACAUAAAUGACUCAACCUCUCCAUGUCUUUCUAUUGCAUUGCAUAAAUUCUUGUCAAGGAAACUACAAACCAAACUUAAGAAAUGUUUUAAGAAAACUAACAAAAUGAUGAACUCAAGGCAGGGGUUGAUCCAAAAUUUGCUACACCAAAACAAAUCCAAAAUUAAUUCACUACUAGAAAACUAAAGAUCAAUAAUUCUCUCCUUAAUUUCAAUUACACCAUGUAAAAGGGUCAAAUUUCACUAUGAAUCCAGGACUGGUAAAAGCUAAGAGAAGCCUAAAUUACUUAGAAAUGGACAACUUAAAAAAGAGAGUAAAAAUUGCGAAAAAAAAUGCAUAAGGGGCAAUAGAGAAAGAAGCAAGAGUUCACUGACAAGUGGCAUGGCUGAACAGGGCAAGAAACAUAAACUUUUAAUGGCCAUGAUAUAUUUUCUUUAUCUUUUUUUCACAAUUAAUUCAGUACUUCAUAUUAAGUAGUUAAAAAUUCUGCCAGACAAAUCCUCCCCAAAUUACACGACCUCUAAACCCACAAGAACUGCCAGACUGCCAGUCAAACUACAAGGUUAGCAAUGAAUCCAACCAAAACUUAGAAUCCAAACAAGAAGUUUAGUCAGUCACAAAUAAAGACUCAAGAAUGGUAAGGGUAACAAAACCUAAAGCUUCACAAAUCCCCUGGGAUGUGUUUCCACAUCUUACCUCACAUAUCAGUCUGGAAAAAUAUGCUCUAUCUACAAUGUUUCAAAUAAAGGGGAGACAUCUUCCCUGAGCAUUUUAUUAUUACUAACCUAUGAUUUGCUAAAAAGAAUCAAACAAAAACAAUAUUCAAAUUUAUGUUUUUUAAUCCCUGCUGAAAAAGAACUAACACAAAGUUACAUAUGAUAGAUUUUUGUCAUCAAAUAAAUAACUACAUCCAAACUCAAGUAAGCAUCUCCUUCCAGUAUUUAGAUCUCCUACCUCACAUCCGUGGCUUGUUUUUCGUGUACACUAGCAGAUUUUAAUCCUUAACCGGUUUUACAUGCUAAAAAGAAAUGAACACAAACGAAUCAACACCUAGACAUAAAAAAUUUAAGAACUAUAUUUAAAUUCAAAUAGAUAUUGGUAAUAAAGACCAAGAAUUUAAGAAAGCAUAAGAUGAAUUGAAGGAAUAAAAAAACCAGAGAAAUUCAAAUAGUCAGUCCCAGUUAAAGACAAAAAUAUGUGUGGAUGCAAAGAAGAUCGAUAAUCAUGCAACACAAAUUAGGCAAGAACAUUGUUCCUUUGCACGAACCAAGUUCAAGUUCAAAAUUCAUUUGUCAAUGAAAGAAACUAAUAAAGUAUAUCUGACAGACACAUCAUAUAUUACAAACUUCAAUAAUCAACAAGAACUAUAUUCAAAUUUAUAUUUUUUAAUCCUCAACUGGAAUCAUGUUGAAAACGAACUAACGCAAGCACAUAAACGGUUACAUAUGAUAGAUCUAACAUAAAAUAAAUAACUACAUCCAAACUCAAGUAGACAUUUGUCAUGAAAGAAAGACAAAAAAUGUAGGAUAACAAAACCUAACGCAUCAAGGAUCUCCAUCCAGUAUUUAGAUAUCCUACCACACAAAGAAAUCAACACCUACACAUACAAAUUUUAAGAACAAUAUUUAAAUUCAAAUAGAUAUCAAUAAUAAAAACCAAGAAUUUAAAAAAGGAUAAGAUAAAUUAAUGAAUUCAAAAACCGGUGGAGCCUUAGUUGCUCAAAACACGCACGAUGAGGUAGAAGAUUCAACCCUUAGGCCUUAUAUAACAUACUCCAUGAUAUGGUGCAGGGCAUUAAGUGAAAAUAAUUCAAACAUCGAACACAAUUCAAUCCUUGGAGAUCAAGUAGAGAGAAAUUAAACAAUAGAGAGGAAACUCAUCAAGAAAUUAGGAUAUCCUGAGCUGCAGUCGUUUUAAACUCUUUUAGAGUUUAGGGUUUCAAAUAUCAAGUAGAAAAAAUUCAAUCAUCGAACACCAUUUAAUCCUUGGAGAUCAAGUAGAGAGAAAUUAGGGAAACAAAACAUAAUACUUCACAUCAUGUCCUACACUACACCACACAUCCAUUGCGUGCUUUCCCUGUACAGCCCAAAAAUUCAAGAAACGAAUUAGCUGUACAGCCAAAAAUUCAUGAAAACGAAAUAACCUCUUAAUAAAAAGAAGUAUAGAAAAAUGAUAAAAAUGAAGAUGCAGAUGCAGAUAAAGACUAAAAAAGACUUGGACAGUUACACAACCAAACACCACUGCAGACAAACACCAAUAAACAAAUCAUAAUCCAAUCCUUAUUUUCGGUGAUCAAUACCAGAUAAAUUAAAUAAUAGAAAGGAGACUAAAACAAGACUUGGAUCAAUUGGCCUUUCUAAACUAUUAUGUUUUUCAUUUCAUCGAUAGACAAAACAAAUCUCAAAACCAAGUCACCAGCAGAAAAGGGAUAAAGGAAUUUGAUCAAAAGAUUCAAAACUUGCCAUCAUCACAAAGAAUCACAUUCGGCGUAAAUGAAUCACAAUCCAAUAAAAGCACAUUAAUCACUUACAAAUAAUUUUUCUAUCCCACGACGCAAACAUCAUGUAAUUCUACAAAACCUUAUAGAGAAUCACAACAAUAACCGAAGCAAUACUAACAAAACUGAUCUUGGAUAUAUAUGUAAUACUAACCAAUGACUAAAUCUAAUAACCCAGCAACCAGAAACUAAAUCUAAUAACCCAGCAACCAGAAACACAGUGUUAGGGUACAAUCGAGAUGGAUUGAAAACGAAAGGAAAUGCAAAACUUACGAUGUUAGGGCACAAUCAAGAACACGGUCGUACUCCGGUCGCAAUGCUUGAAUGCUCAACAGAGAGAGUACUUCGGUCGCAAUGCUUGAAUGCUCAACAGAGAGAGUACUCCGGUCGCAAUGUGAGAAUGUUGUUGAUGCUGAGGAAAAGUGGAGUGAAGUGAGUAUUGCAUGGAGAGAAUUGCUUCAGAAUUGAAAAAUGAAAGAAGAAAAAGAAAAGAAGGGAUUAAAGUAAAGCAAAAAUAAAAAUUAAUUAUUUGUGUGUAAUUUGCAUGGGCUUAACCUUCUUAUUAUUUAAAUUUAAUUUUAAAACUUUUAACGUGGGCUUAACCUUCAAAUAUUUAAAUUUUAAUUAUUUUUAUAAUUUUAGUAGCUGCCAUUUCAACAACGCAACCAUUAUUAUUAUUUUUUUUUUGAAGUUUACGUGAGAAUAACACACGCUUUCCUCACACCUUAUUUAAUUUAUUUUAGGUUUAAUGGAUACUAUAUAGUGUCCACUUAUGGCCUUCAAUAUUUGUUUGCAGCUAAAUUAAGAUUUCUUUGUAAUGAAAUAACUUUUUUUUUACCACCAAAAGGAAUUUAGAAAAAACGAGAAAUUGAACAAUAAGAUGAACGAUGUGAUAAAGACCAAAUAAAAAUAUAUUAAGAAUAAAAUCAUUUUAGUGUUACUUAUAAAAGAAUAGUACACAUCAGAUUUCUCUGGUUACUGAUAAUAGAAUUUAUAUAAUAAAUAAAUUAUUCAUACGAGAUUACAUAAAACUAACUCAAAUUUAACCAUAGAUUGAUGACAGCUUCAUAUAUUGGAGUUUUUUUACGUGAAUUUUUUAUUAUUAUUAAGACUCUUAGGACCAAUCAAACAAUAGAACACAGUUUGAAGAGUCUUAUCAUGUACGCAACGAAGUACCAAAUAAAAUUUUGAGAUGUGUUACAACUAUACCUGGUAAAAGUGGGAUAGUCCAACCUCAUUAAACUCUUCAAGAAAAAAAUGUGAUCAUAUAGACUACUCCAUAAUUUCAACAAACACCAAUUUUCAGGUUUAGUUCCAUUCUAUAUUAUAACAUUUCAUUUUCACUUAGAAAAAAUAAAUUCACCUCCACACUUACAACUUUAUCUACUUAAACCAAUUUAAUCCAACUACGUGUUAAGAAUAUAAGUAUAAAUUUGAGUCUCAUUUAAUAAAUAUAAGAAGUUGAAUAACAAAUAACUAUGAAUAAAUAUAAAAAGUUGAAUAACAAAUAACUAAUCUUAAGUUUAGCACAAAACACAAUUAGUUCAACUAAAAACUUACAAAAAAUAUUGGAAGCAUCAAUGGAGCUUAUUGCAAUAAAAAAAAAUCUAAACAAAACAUUGUUUUGUUAAAAUGUGCAUCUAUUAGUUAAUAAGUUUAUUAUAAAACUUGUAUUGAUUUUCAUUUUCACUCAAAUUAUUUUAUUUUUUUAUAUCUUUAAUCAUGUAACGACAUGUUAUAUUCUUUUGUAGGAUAUCAUAUGAACCCGAGGGAUAAUUAAGACAAAGGUUUGGAUUUCUAAAAAUAAUAUUAAUAAUGCAAAUAAUAUUAAUAAUCUAAAUAAUAUUUAUAAAAAAAUUAUACUAGACAUUACAAACAUCUCACUUAUAUUGACAUUUCAAAUUUCAACCACCUCUAUUGAAAAAAAAAAUUAUUAAACAAGUAAAAAAAAAUACAAACAAGUACGAGAAAUUAAAACAAAAUCCAUACUAACCAUAAAAUACAUCAAAACUAAACAAGAGAAACAUAGUUAAUUUAUACCUAUUAUGGAAAAUGUUCAAGAAUAUAUUAAAAUAAUAUAUUAAAAUACAGUCUAUUAUACCAAAUAAAGUCUUACCUAUAAAGAAAGUCUAAAUUGACAGAUUUAUCAUUACCCCUCUUAAAAUAUGAAAGACAUACUUUUACAAUAAAUAAGACAUUUAUUUCAUUUAUUCUUAAUAAAUCAUCAAGUCACAUGAGUCAUAGAAGGAAAAGCAAAGCAAACUAAUAUGAUUCACACUCUUACCAUAAUAAAUUAUAAACCAAUGUAAAUAACAUUUAAUGAGGGAUAAAUUUUUUCAAUAAAUAAUAAUAUUUUUUAAUUUAUUUUUAGUUAUUUGUGAAUCUCAUUUCGAUUUGAUAUUUAAUUUGAGUGUCAUAUUGUCAUUAACCAAUAUUUAAUUGUUUUUUCUCUUAUUCUAUUAUUGUGUCAUUCCAUUUGGAGCAAUAGAGGGGCUAGUUUAGUGUAUGUGUUGGCAUUUGAUUUGUUCCUUUUCGGUAUGUUCGUACAAGGUAAAAUCGUAAAAAGGAAAAAUUAGAAAACUGUCUUGUUAGAGUAUUGUGUUAGCAUAAUAUUGAUCUCAAAAUAAGGUUAUUUUGUAUGUUAUUGUUUUAUAAAUCUCAAAACAAAUUUUGCAGGUUCAAGAAAAAGCUUUGGAAUAUGGAAAUUAAAUAUAAAUAUUUAUCAAAGAAUAGAAAAAUACUUCAAGUUAGCAUGUUCCUCAAUUGGAAUAUCGAUCUCAAAAUAAGUUUAUUUUUGUACUUCACUAUUUUAUAAAUCUCAAAAAAAAAUUGCAGGUUCAAGAAAAAGCUUCGGAAUAACAAAAUUAAAUUUAAAUAUUUAUCAAAGGAUAAAAAAAAAAUUAAAAAAAAAAUACUACGAUCAAGUUCAUUUUCUUGAAAACUUUACGAGCUCUAAAAUAAAUAAAAAAUACAACUAAUUAUUCAGAAAUUUAUGAACUUGGAAAUUUUUAAUUUUCAUUAAGAAUAAUUAUUUUUUAUGAUAUGUUAUUUGCAAUUAAUUAAUCUAGUAAAAAAUUACAAUCAAAUAACGAGACUAUUGAUAAAUUAAAAGGUAUUCGUUUAUUUUAUUUCUGUAAAUUAUAGGAAAAAUGAAUUUGAAAAUGCAUUGUCUUCUGCUAAAGAAAUUGCUUUUGAAAUAGAUACAGAGUAUAAGUUAUGUGAAAAACAUGGUAGAUCUGUUGAUAAUAUAAGUUAUGUGAAAAACAUGGUAGAUGUGUUGAUAAUGAAAUUCUAAAAUCUCCUAAAAAAUCAUUUAGAUUUUAUGACUUUCUAUACAUUCAAAGAAAACAAUUAACUCCAAAGUUGAUUUAAGAAUUCAAAAUAUAAGAAAAUAUGAAAAAUAUUUGAAGAAUAAUUUCGUGAUAUUGAUGGAUUAUAUUUAUUUUCAAAAUUUAAUAUCUUAAAAGAAAUGACAGAAUUGAAAAAUAAUAACUAAUUGACCUUCUAAAUCAUAUAAAAUAAAUAAAUUAUUUUCCAAAUAUAUAUAUAAGAGAGGGAUUACAGGUAAUAAAAUAAUAUAAAUAUUCUAGUACUACCAAUAUAAUCAAGAAAUUAAGGUGAAUGAGAAUUUAUAUUUUUUUUCUCCAAUCCAUAAAGAAAUGUUUUAAAAAAAAUCAUUAUAAAAGAUCGAUCUAUUAUAAAGUGGAUUUUAAGCUUAACUCAAUCCCAUAAAACUGGUUUAAUCCCAUAAAACUGGUUUAUAGGGUUGAGGAUUGCACCCACUUAUAUACGAUGAAAGACUCUAAUCUCUAGUCGAUGUAGAUUCCAACAUCAACCUCAAAUAAUAUUUCUUGUAAUUAAGAUCAAAACAGUAAACGAUUACAAUAUCGAUUGAUUUCGUUGAAAUGAUUUUUUUAAAACUAAAAGUUACUUAAUAUUAUCAACGAAACCCGAGGCUCACCUCUCCUUUGACCAUGUUAAUUCACAAUCUCUUUCACUAUGCCAUUAAAUGAGUUUGGAACAAGUUUUGUCUUUCUCACCGUCGUCAUGCUUCCCAAGGACCCAUUCACUUAACUCUUCGUGCGUUCCAAUGCAAACAAGUCAGGGUUUUGAUUUGCUUCCUACGAAUCCAAAAUUAGUAACUACAGAAUGUUGUUUGUUGUUGACUCUACAAAUUUAGGGUGGGAAAGAAAAGUUUAUAUCAUACUACUCCACUUCAUAUGCUACUUCAUUUGAUUUUUUUAUUGGUUGUUCUUUGAUGAAGUUUUUCAUUGCUGUUGAUGUUCUUGGUGGUUCUUUGGUCAAGGUGUCUAUUGCUACACGGUGUGUGGGUGAAUUUGUUGGUGACUAGAUUUUUUUGUUAUCAUGGGCUGGUGCAUAGUUGUACCUUUUUUUUUUCAUUGAAAAUUUAAUUUGUAUGGGUGAAAUCUAAACUAUAAAGAUGAUGAAAUUUGCUAAUUCUAGAAUACGUUGUGAUUUUGCAACUAUUUUAUUUUACUUCUACUAUGUGUGAAUUUAGUAAGGUUGAAACCAUCUUGAAAUCUUUUUUAUAUUUAUUUAAACUAUGAUUUGACUCUCGCUAUUUGUUUAUAUUUUAAUAUUAAUUAGGACUUAAUCCUCUUUAAGUUAGAGUAUGUUAAGGUUGCGACCUCUCUAGGUUAGAGUAAGCAAGGUCUUGAUCCUCUCUCUAAUUUAGAGUUAAAGUUUUCCAAUUUCCAAUAAACAACUCUUUUACGUUGUUAAGCCCACUCUAUUAACGAGAGUCCAAUCUACAUUAUUAGUUUCCACUUAGAGAGGACUUAUGAUUGUUAUAGGUUGACGUAAAUAAAAAAGUCAUUUUCAAUCCGUUCACGGUGUAUGGAACACUAUAUGUCCACAUUAAUUAUAAUGUAACGACUUCUUUUUCAAUUUUAGUCCAUCUUUGACUCAUGCUAUAGACAUUUUUCUUGUAAUUUGAUAACUUUGGAUAUUAGAAUGAGAAAUUUUUCUCGGUCAUCAUCCACUGAAUUUGAGUGUUGGAGUGACUAAUAACUCAAUUAAGGGAAACUUCAAAAUAUUAAUUCAUAAAUCACAUUUAUUAUAGAUAUAAAUGUAAAUUUGAGAAUAGGGAAUUAUGAUUGUAUUAAAAAAUAAAUAUUAUUUGUGUGUUUUUAUAACAUGAUUGAUAAAACUUACGUAACCAUUUAAAAUUAAAGCGAAAUAGGAUUAAUUGAGAAAUGUAUCGAUUAGCACAUGUAUGUUCUUUUCAACGGCUUUGGUGACCUAAUUAGAAAACGUCAAACUAUACUGGCAACCUAACUGGAAAACUUCAAACUAUACAGCCAUUCCAUUACUUGUGGAGUAAGGCAAAAAUGCCUUUGUGUUUACUUUUCUAGUAUACGUGCAAGUGUACAGGUCCACUAAUUUCGCAUAUGGUUCUUUCAUUGGCUUUUUAUUGAGUAUAGAUAUGAAAUAUAUUUGGUCCACGUCAAAAAGAAAAAGAAUUGAAAGCGAAACCAAAAAGCGAAAAAAAAAGUAGAAUUAGAAAAUUAAAUAAAUGUUGAAGUUAUUUGAUAAAAUAUAAAUAAUUAUGUUUUCUAUUUCAUUUCUCCUAUUGCAUCAUAUCACGUGACCUAUUUAUAUUCAUAUUGAUUUACUAGGAUUAAUAGUGUUGGAAAGGAAAUAUCAAUUUUGUUUCUUCUACAACUUAACAAUUAACUUAAAUGCUUGUUUGGUAUUGUUAUAAAUCUGAGACUUAGACUGAAAAGUGAAUUGUGAACUUAUGUUUAUUAUUAGAUUAAAAAGUGAGUUGUGAACUUAGGUUUAUUAUUAUAAAUUAUUUAUACUUAUUUUAUUUGUGUAGUAAGUUACGUGUGUUUUUAUUAGUUGAAUGGUGUUGGUUAUUAAUUAUGAUUUCUAUUAUUAAUACUGAUUUCACCGUUAUACCGUUAUUGUUUCAUUAAUGGUUAGUUUACUUAUUUCCUUCCAUUAGUUUCCUACAAUUGGUAUCAAGAGCUAGUCUGUUAUCAUGAACUCUACCCAAUUACUAGUCCUAUGGAAAAAAUUACAAUCAGUGGUGUGUGCAAAUGAGAGUUUUUUUUAUUAUUUAUUAUCAUGAGUUAUGGGAUGUCGUUGAGGGUGGAGUGGUUGCAUUAGCUGUUAAUGCAAUUGAGGCGCAACGAGUAGCGCAUCAUGAUGACAAUAAGGCUUUGUAUCUCAUCCAUAGGGAUGAAUGACAAGACGUUUGAGAAAAUAUAAGGAGCAACAACUGCAAGUGAUGCUUGAAUCAUUUUGUCAACCAAUUAUAAAGGGUGAUGACAAGAUCAAUAGGGUGCGUCUUCAAACCCUAAGACGCCAAUAUGAACUGUUGCAGAUGGAAACCACAUAGAUUAUUGAUGUCUAUAUAAAUAAAGUUCUUGCCUUGACAAAUCAGAUGAAAAGCAAUGGUGAAACACAUUCGGAGCAGGCAAAGGUGGAGAAGAUUUUGAGGUCUUUAACUCCCAGAUUUGAACAUGUUGUUGCCGCAAUUGAAGAGGCCAAUGACAUUUAAAAAAUGACAGUAGGGUUAUUGUCUGGUUACCUACCAGCGCAUGAGCAGCGAAUGAAUGACAAUAAUAUUGAAAAACCAAUUGAACAGGCUUUACAAGCACAAGACUCAAUUGGUAGCUCUUAUCAUAAACACGGUAGUUCACGAGGCAGAGGACGGGGACAUGGUGGUAGCUAUUCCAGCAAAGGUCGUGGUGGCUAGAAUCAUGGAGGCGCUGAGCAAAAUAACAUUGGUUUCAAUCACAUUCCAAGUUCAAAUAACUCUUGACGUGGAGAACGUGAUCGCGGAGGAUGAGGAGGCAUUUAUAAUAAAUCAAAUGUGGAGUGUUAUAACUGUCAUAAACGCAACCAUUAAGCAAAUGAGUGCAGAUCAAAAAGUGAUAAUCAUGCUGCCAAUUGUGCUCAAGAAGACAGUAAUCACGUACAAGAUGAAGAGGAUCAUGCAUAACUAAUGACAGCCACAUCAAAUGAAACUCCAAACAAUCAGACUUGGUAUUUGGAUACAGGUUGCACAAAUCAUAUGUGUGGUCAAAAGGAGUUGUUUGCAUAUUUGGAUGACUCAUUUUGCACAAAAGUGAAAUUCGGUGAUGGCAGGGUCGUUCCGGUGACUGGAAAAGGGCGAAUUCUUAUCACAUUGAAGAAUGGUGAUCACAGGUACAUAUAUGAUGUUGUCUAUGUACCUGAUAUGAAAAGUAAUUUGUUGAGUAUGUGACAACUGGCUGAGAAGGGUUAUGUGAUGUACAUAGUUGAAAAUAAAUUCUCAAUUUUUGAUAAAAAAUGUAGUUUGAUUCUUAAAACCUUUUUAUCAAAAAACCGUAUGUUUCCAGUAGAUAUUCAUAUGGGUGACUUCAAGUGCUUGAAUGCAAUAGUGAAUAAUGAAUCGUGGUUAUGGCAUUUACGCUUUGGGCACUUAAAUUUUCAGAGUUUGGAAAAUCUCUCCAAACGAAAUUUAGUGAAUAGUUUACCCCAUAUUUAUCACCCUGAUCAAUUGUGUGAGACUUGCAUUUUUGGAAAGAAUCACAGGAUACCAUUUGUUAAGGAGCCUUGGCGUGCAAAAUUUCCUUUGGAGCUUGUUCAUAUAGAUGUUUGUGGCUCAAUGAACAUAUCAUCAGUUGGAGGUAAUAAGUAUUUUUUAACCUUUAUUGAUGAUUUUUCAAGGAAAACCUGGAGUUAUCUAUUGAAAAGCAAGGAUGAGGUAUUCCACUGCUUUAAAAUAUCAUAUUUAAAGCAUUUGUUGAAAGACAGAGUGGCAGACAAAUUAAGAUGAUGCGUAGUGAUGGAGGGGGUGAGUACAAGUCUAAUGAGUUCAAGAGGCACUGUGAAGAACUUGGAUUGCAACAUAACAUAACAUGUCUCUACACACCUUAACACAAUGGAGUUGUCGAGAGAAAGAAUAGAACAAUCAUGGACAUGGCGUGGAGCAUGCAUAAAGCGAAAGGUAUGCCAAAUUAUUUUUGGGCUGAGGUCGUAACAUGUGCGGUAUAUUUGAUAAAUAGAUCACCCACUCGGAGUGUUCCUAACACAACUCCGAUUGAGGCAUGGAGCGGAUUCAAACCCAAUGUGCAACACUUGAAGGUAUUUGGGUCUAUUACUUAUGCUCAUGUCCCCAAAGCAGCAAGAUCGAAGUUGGAUGAUAAGGCAGAGAAGACCAUUUUCAUUGGAUAUAAGCAUGGGGGAUACAAAUUGUACAAUCCAAUGACAAAGAAGGUGAUUGUUAGUUGUGAUGUUACAUUUGUCGAAGAUGAGGAAUGGCAAUGGAAUGCAACAGUUGAAAUUGAUUAAAAAAAAACGAUAUAUUUACGUUUUGAACGAUGAUGUGGAAGAUGGAGUCACUCUUGAAGCACCUGCAGUUCAACCAGAAGCUGCAAUUCAACCUGAAGUUGCAAAUCCAAUUGCAACUAUGAUGGAGCGACCAAGAAGGCAGCAACGACAACCUGUACACCUUCAAGAUUGGCGAAGUAAAUCUUGAUGAUGAAGUUGAUGACAAUGGAGAUUUGGUUCACUUUGUUUUUCUUGCAGAUUCAGAACCCAUGAGACUUGCAGAUGUCAUUCAACACCCCAAAUGGCAGAAGGCUAUGAAUGAAGAAUUGAUGGCGAUUGAGAAAAACAAUAUCAUGACUCAAAUUUGUUUUAAUCCAGAUAUUCCAAUUAAGAUUUAUGUUGACAAUGUCUCUGCAAUUAAUCUUGCAGAGAAUCCAGUUUUUCAUCAAAUAAGUAGUCACAUUGAUAUUCGAUAUCACUUCCUGCGAGACCAAGUUAAGAAGAACAUGAUCAAAUUGGAAUACUACAGAUCAGAAGAUCAGAUUGCAAAUAUUUUCACUAAGCCAUUGAAGAUCAAUGCUUUCAUCAAGUUAAGAAAUCUGUUGGGUAGGAAGGUUGCUCCAAAUCAGAAUUAAGGGAGGAUGUUGGUUAUUAAUUCUGAUUUUAUUAUUAUUAAUUCUGAUUUUAUUAUGCUUAAACUAUUUUACCGUUAUUAUUGCAUUAAUGGUCAGUUAGUAUUCCUAUUUUAUAACUUCCAGUAUUUGUAAUUUUAUUAUAUAUAUUAUAUAUAUUAUUGAGUAAAUCAAAAUAUAUGAUACCAGCUCAACAGUUUUGCAAUCUUGUGCAAUUACCUUCAAUCAGUUUCUACAACAUUUUGCCUUCUCUUAUUUCCUUCAAUUAGUUCCUACAAAUGAGAAUAUAAUUAAUAUAAUUAUUUAAUAAGAAACUUAUAUACCACCUCAAGUUAUUUUGGAGUCAAAAUAUUAUAGGAAUGGUUAUCAAUGAAUGAUUUACUAAAAGUGGUAAAUUUUCUUGAGGUUUUAUGAAUGUGAAACCUAAAUAUGUAAAUUUUGAUAGUCAAAAGACUAAUCCCUUUAAGAAUUAAUAUAUUUCAAUAAAAGUGAUUGGAUAUGGUUUUAGUUUGGAGUCAACAACUUAAAGAGACUUGUGUCAAUGUGUAAUCUAUUCUAAUCCACAUAGGUUGAACUCCUAUUAAGGAUACAUAAAUUUUUAAUCUGAUCAACAAGCUAAAGAGAUUGUAUUAAAAAUAUUUCAGUAGUCUAACAGUGGUUGCGAAUUCACGUGAUAUGUGUAGCUCUCAAAGUAAAUAACUUGUUUUCCAAGCUAUCCAAAGAGAUCAAUAUACUUGUCUCCCAAGAGAUUUAUUACUACCCAUGUCAUUUAGACACAAAUAUUUAUGAUAUUGGUAAAAUUAAAAAAAAAUAACUUUACCUACAAAUAGUUAAAAUAUUUGAAAUAAGUGAAGUAAAUGAAUAAUAUAAAUUUAUUCAGAGAUUAUUUAUUAUGAUAAACCUAAUUUAUUUUAAAAGAAUAUAUGACUAAUACAUUUUUUACUUACUCAAAUAUAGUUUAAUUUAUUUUAAAAAAAAUCCAAAAGCUAAAACUUUAGAACAUAAUAUUUUAAAUGUUUUACUUUACACGUGUAAUCCUUAACUAUUUAAAUGUUAUACAAUUAUUAUAGAUAUAAUAACUAUUUUAAAGAAAAUAUUUUAUUUAUUUUAUACAUUUUUCUUACAACAACAAAAUAAAAACCAUAGAUAAAUCCCACUCUUUUAGUGUUUUUUUUUUCUUUCUCUUUUCUCAAUUUGCCAAUUUGCCGUCAUUGUUGAAGAUCUCACCCACUAAUCAAAGUCAUAUUUGAUGUGAAUGUUCUCUUCAAUUCAAAGUUUAUCUUAAUAUUAUGCUAAACUUAGACUUAGUCUAAACCUUACUGACUUGAUUUCAACUUUUCUUUAUAUUUCUUCUUUUUAUACAUAACUUUUCAAACUUUUAAUCUUACACAAAAAGCAUGUCAUUCUUCUCUGACAACAUUUUAUUUCAAUUUUUCUUGAUGGUGUGCUUCAUUUGAAAUUUCAUUUUACUUUAUAUUUCAAUUUUGCUCAUAAGUUAUGAUUGGAGUUUAUUCUAAUUUUUUCCAGUGUCUUAAUAUUUUUCCAUAGUGUGUUUGAUUUUUUAAUUUUCUAUGCAAAAAUUAGUGUUAAUAAUUGUGUCUAACUUUUCUUGUACUCUGUCCUUUAGUUUGAAUGCUUCAUCCUCUGUUCUGCUUCUAAUUUUUCUUAUAUUUUAUCCUGUGUUUUGAAUGCUUAAACUUUUACACUUGUUUUAACCUGUUUUGCUAUUAAUUGUUGUUUACUUGUUGUGAUAUAAGGUUUGCGUGAUUAGUUAGUUGAUGGCAUACAAGUAAUGAAGAACUUUUAAGUAACACAGUUAGUUAAUACUCAAUUAUUAAAAUAUUGCAAGACAUUUCUUAAAAGUGUUUUAUGUUUUAUGUAAUUGUAUUUACCUAUAAUGAAGUUGAUAGCGAAAGAAAUAUUUAAUACUUUUUUUUUCUUUUUUUUUUCUUUUGGAAGGAAUCGAGGGAUACAAACUAUAUCUUCAUAUAUGGAAAAUUAAUUUAGUUAUAUCAGUUGCUAAGUGAAGAUCAAGAUCAUUUGUUUAUUAGUGUGUACGUAUUGAUGUGUUUUGGGAUUAUUAAAAUUUGACGUGUUUGAUAAAGAGUGAUUUAUUCAUAAGUAAACUAUGUUUUGGGAUUAUUAAAUUACGUAUUGAUACUUUUAUUUUCGUGAGGGGAAUGCAUGUGCUGAUAAGUUGACUAAUUUAGGGUUCAUUCAUAGAUAAUCAUUUUAUUGGUAUAAUAGACUUCUAUCUAGUAUGUUCUUAGAAUUCUUUAUGAAUAGGUAUAGUCUACCUAUGUAUCGUUUUUGUUAACAUGUGAGUUUUGGUCUAAUCCUCCCAUAUUUUGGUAUUUUUUUUCUUUUUUUUAAUAAUAUGUUUUUCAUGUGAUGGCAGAUGAUUGUUGUUACUUGAGGUGUCAGCCUAGCUGAGAUGUCAAGUUGCAUAAUGAUGUCUAACAUGGAAAAUUUUAUAAAAAAUAAAAAAACAAAAAAAAACUAUGGUUUUUGUUAUUGAGAAAUUGUUUUUAAGAAAGUGUUGAUUACAAAUUACUAUUUUUUUUAAAAAAAAAUUGUUUUGAACAUCGUAACAUCUUUUUAAUGAAAAAUAUUUAUUGCAUAUAGGGGCUUUUAACAAGUUUGGAAUUGAGUGGAAAUUGGUGUUGGUUUAUGUUGCAAGUUGAUGGUUGAAUCAUAUUCAUAGAUAGAGUUGGUACUUUUUAAUAAUGUAAUUUAGUAUAUUAUUGAUAUUUUAAAAUGAUAAAGAGUGUGUGUAUAAUCUCAAUAAUAUAUGAUUUAAAUGUAUUAAAAAUUGAACUUUAAACAUAAAUCAACUUUAAAAAAUCGACUCAUAAGUUAAGGUUUGCACUUACUUAUAUAUUAUGAAAUGUUUUUAUCUUUGGUCGAUGUAGGAUUUUCAACAUUUCCCUUCACGUCAAGAUCUAUCAAUUCGUGUGUGAAACUAUAUAUUUAUAGGUGGUCAGAUAGCAACCGACCUUAUAAGUCUAACAAACUCUCAUUAGGAUAAACUGUAAAUGACUCUAAUACCAUAUUAAGAAGUGAAUUUUAAGCUUAAUUCAAUUUUAUAAAAUCAAUUCAUAAGGUAAUAUUUACACUCACUUAUAUAAUAUGAAAUGUUUUUAUUUCUAGUCGAUCUGAAAUCUCGAACAAAAUGUGAAAAUAUUCAAUUUUACAAGUAUGAUUAUUAUAAUUAUUAAAUAGGAGAGAUAUGAUUAUUAAGAUCUCAUUACUUGUAUUAUAAAAAAAACCCACGAACUAAAUUUUGUAUUGAUAAAAACUUGAGGAUUGUGGUUGAAAAGGCAGAACAAUUGUAAGAAUUAUCUUUUCAAGCAUAAUACAAAGUAUUUCUUUGUAAUUGAUAAAAAUUUAAACUGACACAUCAAAUAUUUAAAUUAUAUUAUUGAAAAUGGGUUCAUAGAUGAUUUAAAGAAGUAUAUGGUACAAGUUGAAAAUUUAAGAGGUUUUAAAGCAAUAAUAAUCAUAAAAUUUGGAGGAAUGACGUCCAUUCAAAAGUGAUAGGAUGAAAAAAGAAAGACAUGUAUGUUGUUUUAAUAGACUUCCACCAACUAAAUAUUUAAAUAUCUCAUCUCAAAAUUCUAUAACAGAGAAUAAGAUUAACAAUUUAGAAAAGAUUUUUAAAAAUCUUUUAUCUUUUCUUUAGAAAACAUUUUUAAAAAUCUUUUAUCUUUUCUUUAGAAAACAUUUUUAAAAAUCUUUUAUCUUUUCUUUAAACAUGAUGAGUGGUAAUUGUUCUUGCCAACAAUGUGGAAUCACAUCUUCAAGGUAGUCUCCGAACAAUCUUUCGGUAUUGUAGUCCUUGAGUGCUUGAAGAUCACCAAGUGAUGAGGGGAGCUCCACUCGUUGACAAGACUUCGACAAUCAAAUCAGUGAGAACAUUAAAUAUUUCAAUGUAGUAUGUAUUGCAUAGAAUAAUACUUGUCUUUGUUUGGGGACUCAUGACCCUUAUAUAGGACUCGUAGAUCCUUUUUUAGGAGUUUGUAAUCAGACACUUCCUUUGAACUUUUAGUUACACGAUUCGAUUUGUUGGACUCGAUCCGACUGACCCGAAAACGUCUAUUGAGUCCGAUCCAUUGGACCGAAAACACCCGAUCCACAUUAUCGGGUUCUACCCCGAUCUUGACUGAACGAUACAGUAAUAUACAAAUUGUAAAUAAAAAAUAAAAAAUAUAGUAAUUACAUUUAAUCAUCUAUAAAAAAAUUUAAUACUAAUAUGAUAUUUUAAAAAGAUAUUUUUUUCGGAAACACUUGAUGAUGAUGGAAGGAUUGAAAUUAUUCUAAUAGUAAUGUUUAAACACAGUAAAAAAAAGUCAAGUGAUAUGAUAAUGAUUGAAAAUUUACUUUUAAAUACAAUUAUCAUUUUUUACUAUAAGAUCAAUUUUUUUAAUGUGAUUACAUAUAUUUUAUAAAUGAUGUGGAUUUUUAUGGCCUGUACACAUCAUUAAUGAGUGAGAUAAUAUGUUUAAUCAUUUGCCAUUUAAUUUUUAGUACUUUCAAUGAACAAAUGAGAUUCAUAUGUAAGAAAUUUAGCAUCGAUUAUGACUCAUAGGACACAAAAUGUAUUUCAUUGAGUUGAGUGUGGUAUUUCAAUACCUAAUUAAUAUUUUUUUUGUCAUUAGUAAUUUGGUAUUGAUUUAAAAUCGAAAUUGUUGUUGACUAUUAAGAUUUAUUUGCUUUUGUAACUAUUAUGUUUUCCUCUUAUAAAUUUUGUUUAUAUUUUAGAUUAUAAAGUUGUUGUAAAACAUUGCAAAAACUUUUCUUAGUGGUUUUUAUCUAGUACAAUCAUUUAUAUUUUAGUGGACUUUUAUUGAAUUGAAUACACCCUACUCCAAUAGCCUAUGACGAGUCACACAAAUUUCAUUUGACAACAAAGAAUCUAUAGGGACAAAAAGUGGAACUUAUAGAGAAUCUUUAAAUUCAAAUUGAUAUUUUGAAUAAGUGAACAAAAAGUUAAACCCAUUUAUUAUAGCCAUUGUUUCCAAAAAUAUUUAAUAGUGAAUAUUUGAGCAAAUAAUGUAGAAUGUAUUAUAGCUAAAGACAAACAUCAUAUUAUUGUUUGGUACACGGAAAAUGUUAUAUUAUCACAAUUAUCGGUAUAUAUUAAUAAAUUUAUUCUCAAAAUUUUAACUAAUAAAUUUAUUCCACCAUUUUAUACAUGGACUAUAAUGAUAGAUUGUUAAAUGCCCUUAAAAUUUUACAUCACACUUUAUAUAGUAAAAAUAUUAUCAUGAUAUCUAUUACAAUGAAAGAAUGACAUAAACAAAAAUAUUUUGGUAUUAAAAUAUUAACGAAAAAUAAUAAAUUAUAUGGUAUUAUUAGUAAAGUAAGGAACUAAAAAUUAUUGAAGUUUUUGUGGAAUAAACUCAUACGGAAUAAUAUGUCAAAAAAAUUAAUUGAACUUAACAAUUGUUUUUUAUUAGCUAUAAGAAUGAAAUUAAUAAAGAUAUAUAUUUUAGAGAUAUAUUAACCUUAUACAAAAUCAUCAUUAUCAAACUUUCAUCUUGCAUUAAGUCUAUAAUGAUAUUAUACUCAAAACAGAUUAAUCAUACUAAAAACCACAACAUAAUCUAUUAAUCCAAACUUCUUAAAAAUGAUGUUCUUCUCAUAUUGAAUAUAUAGUUUUUAUUGAAGUUAAUAGUAACUCAUCAUGAUUAAAAAACAUGUUGUUUAGAGUUAAUUUUGUUUGAUAGACAAUUAUAUCAUCUAACUAUAUUACUUUAUUGUGUAAUUCCACUAUAUUGAUAUAAGUCUCAAUUUGAUGUACGGGAAAAGAUAGAAAAGAAAGAAAUGGGAGGAGUACAUUUGUUUAGUUAAUUAAAAAAGCUAAAUAAAUAUGUUUAAAAAAUUGUGAAACUGUGAAGUAUAUGAUAAGAAAAUCUGAACUUGUAAAUAUUUAUAACUAAAGUCUGCAAAAAGUAUAAAUAUUUUAAUUAUUUAUUUGUUAAAAGAGUGAAUAUGGAUAUCAUGCUAUUUAGUUAGCGAAUGUUCACUGUCCAUUAUUAAUUAUUUUUAUUUGAAUAUAUUUUUUAAUUAAGCAAUUGAGUAAAAUUAUUAACGAGAAAACAUUAAAAAUUGAUGAAUUAUUUAUAACUUAAUUUUAUAAAUGUAUAGUUUUUAUUUAGACUUGUGGAGCUAAAAUUAUCUUCAAAAGAUUAAUUUUAUUUAAAGUUAUAUUGUGAAGAAUUUUUUUAGAAUGAUUAAUUUUUUUCUAAUAAUAGCUUAUGAAACAUUUUUAUUAUAAUUAUACAUUAAUAUCAAUAUUUUAUCUUAUUUUAUUUUAUGUUUUAAAGAAUAAUUUUUAAAUAAUAUUAUUUUCUUAAAAGAAGGAUCCACGUGUAUCUAUUGAAAUAGGCAAGUAUUUUAAAUAACAUUAUAUUUUUUUAGUAGAAAUACUUCUUCAUAAGAUUUAUUUAUAAAUAACAAGUCACUUUAGAUAUGGUUAUCUCCUACUUCCAUAUCAAUGUAGACUCUUAUAUGUGUGACGUCAUUUAUUAUGAACUUGAAAUGUACUAUCUUAAGUGUAUCCUAUAGAAAACACCAUCACAUUCAAGUCAAAUAAUAUAAAAAUUAAGUAAUAAAUGAAUAAUACAUAUUUUGAGAUCUUCACCAUUAACUUUUAUUUAUAUCGAGUAUCGGUGGUUAAAUAUGACUUUAGUAUUGAGUUAAGAUUUUAAUAAUAAAAAUAUAGUGUAAGGGAAAAUAAUGUUAAUAUUUUAAUACUUUUGCGUGUUGAAAGAAAGAAAACAAAUCUAAAAAUAACUAUAGUUUAAACUUCGUUAAUUUUAAUAAAAAGCAUCUUCAAAACCGUAUUUAGUAGUAUAUAUAAUUGUAUUAUUUCCAGUUAUUUAUUUUAUUUUGUAGAUGCUUUCUAAAUUUAAAGGAAGAACCCAGACUUUAACCAAAACAUAUUUCUAUCCAAAAUAAAUGUAUGGUUAUGGGAAAAAAUAGCCUACAAUUGAUCAUACAAUCCAUUCAUUAAAUAAUGGAGUACAAUACAAUGUGCUAUAAUGAACCCAACAACGUCUUGUUCUAGGUUUUGUAUAUUCAGUCAUUGAUUUCUAAAUUUUUAUAUGAAUGUUUACAAUAAUAUUUCAAGGUCAAGUUAGUACUUCCUCCGAAUAAAGAAUAUAAAGUAAAAAAAGUUAAGAAUUCAUUAAUUAAUACUUAGUUUGAAGAAAAAACAUAUAAUAAAAAGUUAUAUAUUUAUUAUUUUCAAUUCACCUAUUUAUAACGGUAUUCUUCUAGUUAAGAAGAAUGUCUUCCAACUAAAGAUUUAGUUUAGUCAAAAAUAGUUAUUUCCAACUAAAUUGUAGUUCUGUCUCAUACCAUCAUCUUCCUCUUUUAUUUAAUAAUUAUUUCUCUAUUAUAGUAUUUGUCUCAUUCUUAGAUACAUUCUUAGAUUAAUUACAAUCUCGCAUAUUCAGUUAAUGUUUGUCACUUUCAAUAAAAAAAAUAAAAAAAAAUUUCAUUAUUUUAAUAAAUAGAUCAAUAUCAUAACCGUUUUCAUCUAUUAUUGGAAUCGACUUAUGAUCUCACAGUUCUCAAAUUCCAACAUAAUCCAAUGAGACUAAUAAGAUCAUGAAGUAAUUAAUUAUAGGAUGUAUCUUAAAUUUUGACUGAAAUCCAUACCAUUGAGGUUGAUGCAAAAGUUCACAUAUACUAUUAUACCUCAUCUAUAGAAAUGAUUAAUUGAGAUCCAAAUAGACUUAGAUGCGCUUAAUCAUAAUUUAUAUAUUGUUUACUUUACUCUACUUAUUAAUUAUAUUAUUACACCCUUAAUUUCACUUUAGAGAUACUUGCAUCAUUCAGUGGUGAGAUGUUGGGAUAUCGAGUGUGAUAUCGACACCUCAUAUAUUCCGGUACAAUGCAUUUGAGGAAAAUAAAAACCGAUCAUAUGUAUAAUUUUUUGUUUUCUUCCAUGCUUGGUUGUCACUUAGGUCAAUUCAGCACGAACCAACAUACUCCAUUUCAUCUUCUCAUAAAUCGAAGACAAUAAUUCCAGGAAAUGAAAAUGGGGUAUGUUAAUAAAGAAAAAAAAUAAGAGAAAAUUGCACAUAAAUAAAAUUCAAUUGAGUUCUUAAAUUACAAUGAUAUUGAAAAGAGUAGAAAUAUAUAGUUAAUUUGGUGAAUAAACAAAGUAGGUUGGAAAAAUGCGAUGAAAGCAUGAUAAGAUAGUUGUGGUUGUCUGUGGAAAUGCGAAACCCCUCUUUCUUGUUUUGUUUUGCACAUAUUUUACAAGCAAAUCCGACAAACAGAAAGAAUUGCAUAAGUCCAAACCUACUGGUAUUAUUUAGACGUUAAUAAUUGCCAGCUUUUGCCAGCUCCUACUUCAUCAUUAAAAUAUAAUUUAAAAAAAUAGACACAGAAACAGUAGUGAAGACUUUGCUCCUCAGUCCCAAAAAAUGACAACGGGAUACACUGGAUUUCCACACUUUCUCACAUGCUCGUCUUUUUCAUUUUCUGCCACGUGUAUUGUAAUGUAGCAAGGUCCCUCUGGUUCCAGCUGCGCAAACCUCACUCUCUUCCUUCAUCAUCAUCAUCAUCAUCAUCUUCUACCACUACAGCCACAAUAAACAUGCAUACCGUAUUUUUUCUUUUCAAAUAUUAUACGUAUACUUUUUGAUAUUUUAUUUCCGUUUGAGUUGAGUAGUUGUUCUCCAUUUGCAACGGUUACCUAAUAUUAUUCUCUGUUUCCAUCUACCCCAUUAUCAACUACGUAUUGCAUAUAAAACAUUAGCGAUAAUGAAAGAAAGGGUCAUGUAUCUGCUUUCUCAAUCAUUAAUGCAAAAUUACCGAAUUUAAUGAUGUUACCAUUACGAAUGGAGAAAGGGUCAAACCAAAAAUAAAAAGUGCACCUUUUCAACUGGCGGACAAAGGACGAGACACGAGUGGCAUCAACGCGGGUAAAGCACCCCGCGUUUUACUACCAGACGGAACCCAUCAACGGGCUAUAAAGGACACACGUGUGAGUUCUAGAUCAACGGUCAAAACACAAGGGCACUCUAGUAAUAUCGUUAAACGACUUUAUGAGUUGUUGAAAAGUUAUGGUCUUUCCGAGGAAAGAAAAAGUAAAAAAUAAUAAUAAAAAUGGAUUUUUUUUCAUUAUUUUCAUAGUACACAUUUUGUUUUCAUUAAUGGAAUUUUAAAUUGUAUUAUUUUUUGUUGUUAGAACAAACAGAGGGCUAGAGUGAAAAUAAAUUUAACGGGGAGAGGAGAGAGAGUGGGAAGCAUAUGAGAAUAGGAAGAUGGGUGGAAAAAACGCCGUACAGAGGGGUGGCGGAUGACAGCGACUGCUCACUGACCCACAUAACUGACACGUGUCCUGACGCAAAAGGGUGUGGAGGUAAUAUUGAGCAAGCAUAAUGGAGAAAAAGGCAAAGAAGGAACACACAUUAACAAAAAUCAAUUGGGCAGAAGAUCCACAUAUGCCAGCUAAUAUUUUGCACAUUUACAGAAAGAGAGGAAAAAUUGUAGUAGAGGCGGAAGAAAGUUGAAAUGAAGAUAAAAUAAAAAAAAAGAAUAAAGAAUAAAAAAGUGGGAAUGGAGAGUUAAGUGUUGACCCAUUAUUAUUACUCACAUCACACCGGCCUGACCUAGUCCAGGGUAUUAGGGAAGAUGAGGAAUGGGGACAGGCAGCAUAGAAGGAGUAGAUGCACAUCACAACAUAUAAAAAUAUUAAUAUAUAUAGUAAGGUUGGGAAAAUAAUGAGAUAAAAAAAAUUGUGUGUGAGCAUAUAGAAGGAAAUUAAAUUAGGACAUUGGAGUUGGAGGAAUCUUUGAGCAUUAUUGAUGCAUUAAUCGCCACUCCUUCAACGGUUCAUAUCUUACCUCUUUUUAUAUAUUCUGUUCCCUUAUCAUCUUCCACUGCUCAACUCUCUCUCUCUCUCUCUCUAACACAAGCUUCCGUUUUUCUGUUUCUCUUCUCUCUACUCAGAACAUGGGUUCUUCUGCAGUACAAUUGUUUCUCAUCUUGGGGCUUCUGGCUACUUCUUGCAUAGCACAAGCCCCAGGUGGCGCACCCACGCAGCCUCCCACAACCACCCCACCACCACCGCCCGCAGCAGCACCAGUACCUGCACCCACUGCACCCGCAACUCCACCACCAUCUUCACCACCACCUGCACCCACACCCGCACCCACACCAACUGCUCCCACUCCUGCUCCAGCUUCUUCUCCUUCAUCUGCUGCAUCUCCCUCAGCUGAGUCACCAGGCUCUCCUACAUCUCCCCCAGCACCACCGGCCCCCUCAUCUGCACCUUCACCCUCAGUCAGCGAACCACCACCCUCACCCUCCUCCGCAUUCUCCGUUGGCAAGGCCUUCGUUGCCGGGUCUGCGCUCGCGGGAACCUUCGUAGCCAUGGUCUUGGCUUGAAGACAGACCUGACGGUUGGGAUUCGUCCACGUGGAGGCUCUUGGGCCCUUGAUCUUGUUUUACAGCGACGGACGGACGGACGGGAUCUGUUUCAUUUAUUUUAUCCUCUGGUCUUGUUGAGUAGCGGUUUUCUUUUUCUCUCUUUGGGGUUUUAUGUGUUAGUUUUGUUCGUUCGUGGUUGAUGUGUUUGUUGAUUCGAUAUCUGGGAGGGUUGGGUGUUGAUGAUGAUGAUGAUGAUGAUGAUGAUGGUGAUGGUAUUCAUGAUUAUGAUGAUUAUUUUGUGAUUCAUUGUUCUGGUGUUCACACGUGUACGUAGAUGACCUUGAUGAUUUCAUUGUACAUCUAAUAAUUGAAAGAAUAAAACAGUUUGUCAUU